GCAGAACUGUGGCUCAGACAGUGGCUUUAAUUGUUGUGUUGGACAUUAGCAGCUGACUAGUGAGUCAGUCCGUAUGGCGUGCAUGUGCUGCUCUAUUCUGGGUAGAAAGCCACAAGCAAGUCAGAGGAAAAGCUGGUAUUACAAUUCUGAGACCUGGAAGACACUUCAGACUUCACAAGCCUAAGCCUGCUACACAUUUGUUUGUAAUUGUUCCCUGCAGAGGUGAUAAAACGAUGCACGUUUUGUUAACAAAAUGACAAUGGCAAUGACUACUCCAGUAGCCCAGAUUGGCUCCUCCAAACAAGUCAAGAAGUGAAGGGAGCUUGGGUAUUCAAAAACAAUUGCAGCAAAUAAAAUGUUAAUGUAUUUCGAAA